AUUGAACGCUGGCGGAAUGCUUUACACAUGCAAGUCGAACGGCAGCACGGACUUCGGUCUGGUGGCGAGUGGCGAACGGGUGAGUAAUAUAUCGGAACGUAUCCAAUAAUGGGGGAUAACUAAUCGAAAGGUUGGCUAAUACCGCAUACGUCCUACGGGAGAAAGCUAGGGACCUUCGGGCCUGGCGUUAAUGGAGCGGCCGAUAUCUGAUUAGCUAGUUGGUGAGGUAAAAGCUCACCAAGGCGACGAUCAGUAGCUGGUCUGAGAGGACGACCAGCCACACUGGAACUGAGACACGGUCCAGACUCCUACGGGAGGCAGCAGUGGGGAAUUUUGGACAAUGGGCGCAAGCCUGAUCCAGCCAUUCCGCGUGAGUGAAGAAGGCCUUCGGGUUGUAAAGCUCUUUCGCAAGGGAAGAAAACUUAGCCUCUAACAUAGGUUGAGGUUGACGGUACCUUGAUAAGAAGCACCGGCUAACUACGUG
rnacentral:rRNA from 1 species